rnacentral:rRNA from 1 species
GCCUGGUGGCGAGUGGCGAACGGGUGAGUAAUACAUCGGAACGUACCCAGAAGUGGGGGAUAACGUAGCGAAAGUUACGCUAAUACCGCAUACGUUCUACGGAAGAAAGUGGGGGAUCGCAAGACCUCAUGCUUUUGGAGCGGCCGAUGUCUGAUUAGCUAGUUGGUGAGGUAAAGGCUCACCAAGGCGACGAUCAGUAGCUGGUCUGAGAGGACGACCAGCCACACUGGAACUAGAGACACGGUCCAGACUCCUACGGGAGGCAGCAGUGGGGAAUUUUGGACAAUGGGCGCAAGCCUGAUCCAGCAAUGCCGCGUGAGUGAAGAAGGCCUUCGGGUUGUAAAGCUCUUUUGUCAGGGAAGAGACGGCAGAAGCUAAUAUCCUUUGCUAAUGACGGUGCCGAAGCAAUAGUCACCGGCU